CUACGGGGCGCUCCAGUUAGGUAUAAUCUACAAUGCGCGCAAGCGUGAUAGUUUGAGCCAGAGUGCGUAUCAAUUGAUAUGCUUUUGCUGAAUGUAAAAAGUUCGGCGAAUAAGGACUGGGUAAGACAGGUGCCAGCCGCCGCGGUAAUACCUGCGGUCCAAGUCGCAGCCAUUUUUAUUGGGUCUAAAACAUCCGUAGCUUGUUUGAUAAGUUUCUUGUGAAAUAUUAUGUCUCAAACAUAAUGCGGGCAAGAAGUACUGUCAAACUAGAGACAGGGAGACGUAAAGAGUACGUUUGAAGUAGCGGUAAAAUGCUUUAAUCUCAGACGGACUAACAACAGCGAAGGCACUUUACGAGAACUGUUCUGACAGUAAGGGAUGAAGGCUAGGGGCGCAAAACGGAUUAGAUACCCGAGUAGUC
rnacentral:rRNA from 1 species